UACGAAGGGGGCGAGCGUUGUUCGGAUUUACUGGGCGUAAAGGGCGCGCAGGCGGCUUUGUUUGUCAGGCGUGAAAGCCCCGGGCUUAACCUGGGAACUGCGUUUGAUACGGCAGGGCUAGAGUUCGGGAGAGGAGAGUGGAAUUCCCAGUGUAGAGGUGAAAUUCGUAGAUAUUCGCAAGAACACCAGUGGCGAAGGCGGCUCACUGGCCCGAUACUGACGCUGAGGCACGAAAGCGUGGGGAGCAAACAGG
rnacentral:rRNA from 1 species